AUACAGGAGUGUUUAUGGUUGGGUUGAGACACAUUCAGUAGCUGAGUGAUUGACAGCAAGAGGAGCAAGACAUGAGGUAGAUUUGUAUUAUAUUCUCAGUGAAACGGGAUAGCUUUAGAAGCUUUUUAAUAAAAAGGAUAUAUGAUCUAAAUUUCCUACUGUUAAUAAUUAUCAAAUAUAUGGCAAUGCUGGACUUUAGCUGAUCAUCGUGCUUCUGGAAAACAACAAAAAUUGAGAUAUCUGUUCACCACUUUGUGUGUCCAAGGACCACCUACUUUUUACAUGUGACAAGAACUACCCACCUCCACUCUUCAGGAUAGAACAUGCUGAAGAAAAGAGUUGCAAUGAGAAAAUAUAUGGGAACAAAAUACCUAUGCAAUGCAGAAGUCUGCAUAACUGAACCACUCAGAGGAAAAAGUUUCCCUCCCAGGCUGGAGUACAAUGGCGCGACCUCGGCUCACUGCAACUUCCACCUCCCAGUUCAAGCAAUUCUCCCACCUCAGCUUCCUUAGUAGCUGGGAUUACAAGUGCCUGACACCAGGCCAAGCUAUUUUUGUAUUUUUAGUAGAGACGGGGUUUCACCAUUUUGACCAGGCUGGUCUCAAACUCCUGACCUCAGUCCAUCGGUCCACCUCGGCCUCCCAAAGUGCUGGGAUUGCAGGCAUGAGCCACCGCUCCUGGCCUCAAGUUUAAUUCUUAAAUUGCCAUUUCAGGACACCUCCUACAUCUGAGGAAAUAUGCAUUGAUCUUGCAGUACUUUUCUCCUCCAAAUAAAAGUCAGUAUGAUAACAA
rnacentral:lncRNA from 1 species